UACGGGGGGGGCAAGCGUUGUUCGGAAUUACUGGGCGUAAAGGGCUCGUAGGCGGCCAACUAAGUCAGACGUGAAAUCCCUCGGCUUAACCGGGGAACUGCGUCUGAUACUGGAUGGCUAGAGAUUGGGAGAGGGAUGCGGAAUUCCAGGUGUAGCGGUGAAAUGCGUAGAUAUCUGGAGGAACACCGGUGGCGAAGGCGGCAUCCUGGACCAACACUGACGCUGAGGAGCGAAAGCCAGGGGAGCGAACGGG
rnacentral:rRNA from 1 species